rnacentral:rRNA from 1 species
AGUGAACGCUGGCGGUAGGCCUAACACAUGCAAGUCGAACGGCAGCACAGUAAUAGCUUGCUCUUACGGGUGGCGAGUGGCGGACGGGUGAGGAAUACAUCGGAAUCUACUUUUUCGUGGGGGAUAACGUAGGGAAACUUACGCCAAUACCGCAUACGACCUACGGGUGAAAGCAGGGGAUCUUCGGACCUUGCGCGAUUGAAUGAGCCGAUGUCGGAUUAGCUAGUUGGCGGGGUAAAGGCCCACCAAGGCGUCGAUCCGUAGCUGGUCUGAGAGGAUGAUCAGCCACACUGGAACUGAGACACGGUCCAGACUCCUACGGGAGGCAGCAGUGGGGAAUAUUGGAAAAUGGGCGCAAGCCUGAUCCAGCCAUACCGCGUGGGUGAAGAAGGCCUUCGGGUUGUAAAGCCCUUUUGUUGGGAAAGAAAAGCAGCAGGUUAAUACCCCGCUGUUCUGACGGUACCCAAAGAAUAAGCACCGGCUAACUUCGUG